AGCCGUGGUAGACCACCACGUCGAUAGGGGGCAUGUGGAAACGCGGCAACGCGCGAAGCUGAGCCCUACUAAUCGCUCGUCAGGCUUGAUCCU
rnacentral:rRNA from 1 species